UGAAUCGAUUCAACAAUGUUGAAU
rnacentral:siRNA from 1 species